rnacentral:rRNA from 1 species
CGGACGGGUGAGUAACACGUGAGCAACCUGCCUUCGAGAGGGGAAUAACGGCUGGAAACGGUCGCUAAUACCGCAUAAGCACCCAGUUUCGCAUGAAACAGAGUGAAAAGAGUAAAUCGGUGUAAGAUGGCUCUGCGUCUGAUUAGCUGGUUGGCGGGGUAGAAGCCCACCAAGGCGACGAUCAGUAGCCGGCCUGAGAGGGUGAACGGCCACAUUGGGACUGAGACACGGCCCAAACUCCUACGGAAGGCAGCAG